ACGUCGUCGUUUCCAGUAGGUAAGCAUUUGCUCAAGCUCGUCUUCGCGACCGCCACUGCAACCUCCGACAACAGCGAGCUUCUUCAGAAGCCGCCAUUGACGAUGGCUCUGCUCAAGCGAAGCCCACGCCUCCGCCUCGCUCUCUUUCGCCUCUCGCCUCUCUCUAGCACUUCUCUCUCUUACUCCACCGCUCACCUUCAAGAACAAGAUGAAGGAGAAGAAGAAGGGCAUGGAAGUCGCGAGCCUCCCGUGCUCGCCCCCUCUCCUUCUCUUUCCCCUGAAGAAACCCUGGUCGCCGACAAGAUCCACGCCCUGAUCAAAGACCACCACCGCAGAAACCCCAGCCCUGGCCUCGCCCCGCCGGACCCUCGCCUCACCAUCCCCGCUCUCUCCCUCGAUUUCUCCCGAGUCUCUCCCGCCCGCUCCCUCUCCUCCUCCGUCGUCCGCCGCGUGGUCGAGAAAUGCGGGGACCUCCGCCACGGCAUCCCCUUCCUCCAAGCGCUCGCUUUCUUCAACUGGGCCGCGUCGCAGGCGGAGCUUGCAUCCCCUGCUCCUUACAACGAGAUGAUCGACCUCGCCGGAAAGGUCCGGCAGUUCGACGUGGCGUGGCACCUGAUCGACACCAUGAAGUCACGAGGUAUUGUGAUUAAGAUUGAGACUUUCGCGAUUUUAAUUCGUCGUUAUGUUAGGGCGGGAUUGGCUGCCGAGGCUGUCCACGCCUUUAAUCGUAUGGAGGAGUAUGAUUGCCAGCCUGAUAAGGUCGCCUUCUCGAUUGUUAUCAAUAUGUUAAGUAAGAAGAGGAGGGCGGUCGAAGCUCAAUCUUUUUUUGACGGUCUGAAGGAUAGAUUUGAGCCUGAUGUGGUUGUGUACACUAGCUUGAUUCACGGGUGGUGCCGAGCCGGUAAUAUCUCUGAGGCGGAGAGGGUGUUUGGGGACAUGAAACUGGCUGGGAUAAAGCCCAAUGUGUAUACUUAUAGCAUUGUGAUUGAUGCGCUGUGUAGGUGCGGGCAAAUUACGCGUGCCCAUGAUGUUUUUGCAGAGAUGAUUGAUGUUGGGUGCAAACCGAAUUCGAUAACCUUUAACAAUUUGAUGCGAGUUCACGUGAAAGCCAGCAGGACCGAGAAGGUUCUGCAGGUGUAUAAUCAGAUGAAGAGGCUCGGGUGUCCGGCGGAUACAAUUACAUACAAUUUUCUCAUCGAAACUCAUUGUAAAGAUGAAAGUCACGAGGAAGCCAUGAAGGUGCUUAAUUCGAUGGUUAAGAAAGGCUGCAGCCCCAAUGCAUCCACUUUCAAUCCGAUAUUUAGAUGCAUUGCGAAAUUGAGAGAUGUAAACGGGGCUCACAGGUUGUAUGCUAGGAUGAAAGACUUGAAAUGUAUGCCUAAUACAGUGACGUACAAUAUACUGAUGCGGAUGUUUGCCGACUCAAAGUCAACUGACAUGGUUAUCAAGUUGAAGAAGGAAAUGGACGAGAACAACGUCGAGCCCAAUGUGAACACAUACCGGAUUUUGAUCUUGAUGUACUGUGGGAUGGGGCAUUGGAACAAUGCCUACAAGUACUUUCUAGAAAUGAUUGAAGCUAAGUGCUUGAAACCAGGUUUGCCUGUCUAUCAGAUGGUUCUAGAGCAGCUCAGGAAGGCAGGGCAGCUGAAGAAGCAUGAGGAGUUAGUGGAGAAAAUGGUGGAUAGGGGAUUUGUUACUCGACCUUUGUAGGUUUGUGCUCAUCUGCAUAUGCAGGUCAAGUAAGUUGCGUAAUAUCCUAGCAUUAGUUUCCAAACAAUCUUUUUUGUUUUUUCAUCAUCUUGAAAUGCAUAAGAUUAGCAUUUGAUAUUUCUUCGGGGCAACAAUACAUUGUCAUCUUCGUACUGUAGGUUUUGCUGUUAUUUCUUCAAUGUGGAAGUAUGCUUUGUUGCCUUGUUUGUAUCUCAAAAGCAAAUUCUGAUAAAUUGAUGGAUAUAUAUGGAGCUAAUGCGCUCCGGCAUUCUCAGGAUAUCGAUUCUGCUUGAAUAUGCACCUUAGGAUGAAUUACUCAAACUGCAGAAAAAUAGAGUACUAGUUGAAGCACAUCUCCCAAUCAAGUGCGAUCUUCUACCUUGUGAUGCUUGGCAUAUGUGAUAUGUGCCUGUCUUUGUUGAAUUUCAUCUUCCUCCUCUUUGGUUUGUAACCAAGUUAUUCCAUUAUAAGACCUCUGUAAAAUGAAGCCAGGGAAUGCACGCAUUUUUUUUCCCCU